rnacentral:tRNA from 1 species
UCCUGGUGGCUCAGUGGUAAAGAAUCUGCUUGCAGUGCAGGAGAUGUGGGUUCAAUCCCUGCCUCAGGAA